UCAACAUUUUUGGAUUUAUUGUUGUCAGCUGUGAGUGACAAUCAUGACUUAUCACAUUCACUACUUUCUCCACCUUUAAUCACAGGACUAUCCCCCUCAUGAUGCACUGACAGUUUGGGAGACCUGUAGAGAGUUUCCCUCAGAGGAAACAUAUUGCUGUCGGGGCCUACGUACAUUAUUUUUCAACUUGUUUCGUCUAAGGCUAUUAUAAUUAAAUUGUGGAGCUCAGACGACAUCUUGUCCAGGAUGGAGACAUAGGGUGAAAGAUGGAACGGACGGUCCUGAGGGAGUUAUAGGUGGAGCGAAAUGCCAGAUGAUGCGCAGAAAGAACUGUGUAGAAUAAUUAAUCAAAAUGACAUGUUUGAUGUGCAUAUAAGCACGGAGGGAUCUGAGGUUCAAAACUACACUAAAUGUAACCAGCAGAUCUUCCGUGUCCGUCAUGCGUACAAAUUAAUUAAUGAGUGGAACAUGAUAAACGUAUAUGUAAGUAUAAUGUCAUUAUUUCAAUUGUGGUGAAAAGCGGGACAUUUGAGUGUUUUACAUAUACUGUAUGUGUUGGGACUCGGGACACGUCAGCUUGAUACCGGGACAGUCCCGGACAAACCGGGAUGUCUGGUCAACGUAGGUUGGCAGAAGGCUAAACUAUUAGCAACAUUUUCUCUUCAUCUCUGAAACACUUCGCUGAUAUUGUACGACUCUUUUUCACUGACUUCACUGAAGGAUGGUUAGUAAUCCAUAGAUUUAUACACCCUCAAUUUGUCUUUACAGCGCUGCCGCUGGCCAGUGCCCACUGGCCACGAGCCUGCUGGUCGGACGGCUGGCUACUUAGCUAGCUUGUUAAUUCCACCAUGCUUUCAUGCAAUACUGGUUACAGAAAAUGAGCCCAGCAGCGCUCCCUCUGCCA